GGAGGCGCUCGGGUCCCGGUGGGCCUCGCGGUCUUCAAAACCGUCUGCGGGGCGGGCUACUCCCGUCCUGGGUGGGUUCGACUCCCAUGCGCCUCCG
rnacentral:tRNA from 1 species